GAAAUGCGAUACGUAAUGCGAAUUGCAGAACUCAGUGAAUCAUCAAAUCUUUGAACGCAAAUUGCACCGUCUAGUUUCCACUGGACGGUACACCUCUUUGAGGAUCGCUUAUACUUCAAAUCGAAUCUAUUAUUAUUGGAUUCGGAGAAUGAGCUUUCAACCUUGUUGCAAGGUCGUGGCUUGAAAGAGUAUCAUGCUGUUUGGGAACUGCUUGCCUGUUUUGUUUGUUCCCUGGGUUGAUUUCUUUCCGAGGUUGAUUUCUUUCCGAGAAAACAAAACACAGGUCAACGCAAAACACAACGGAACCCAAAAUACAAAAGCAGCAUGCAAACCAAUGAACAAAUUGAAAAUCGAUCUCAAAUGAAGUGAGAGGACCCCGUGAAUUUAA
rnacentral:misc_RNA from 1 species